CUGUGUCUCUCGAGUGUCAACCAACACCGCUCCAGCUGCGGCGUGCGCAGCUAUAAAAACCAGAGUGCCAAACAUAGUACUCCUUGCUACCGCAUGACCACGCCACAUAUCAUCGUCUAGCUCCGUUUAUUCGUUUCCGGGAAGCAACCAACCAACCAACUCUCGUUUCCAGGCAGCCGACGACCUUGGGCCGUGUUCGUCUGCUGCCAAGAGUACAGUUUGAUGCGAGCAGCUAGCUAGUUGUUCCUUUCAAUUCGUGUGCUUUUGCUAGUAGCUUGAGAUCAAGCCAGCCGGCGAACGAGGAUCGGAACAUCAUCCAUCGCAUCAUGGCCGCCGAGCAGCAGCAGCAGCCUGCCAAGGCCGCCGCGGCCGGCAGCAGGUUCGCGGUGACGUGCGGCCUGCUGAGGCAGUACAUGAAGGAGCAGGGCGGCAGCGGCGCCACCAGGUGCCUCGCGCCGGCCGUCGCCAUGGGCCUCAUGCCGGAAGCCGACGCUGCGGCGGCUGCGACCGAGGAGAGGACCACCGUGCUGGAGCUCUUCCCGCAGCAGGCUGGCACGCUCAAAGACGAGCAGCAAAGGAAGAGGAAGGAGCCUGCGGACGGGAGAGCGCCGCUGACCAUCUUCUACGGCGGAAAGAUGGUGGUGUUCGACGACUUCCCCGCGGAGAAGGCCGAGGAGCUCAUGCAGCUCGCCGGCUCCGGCGGCAACGCCGCGCCCGCCGCCGAGAACGCGCUGGGACAGCCCAGCCUCACAGACAUGCCCCUCGCGAGGAAGGUGUCGCUCAAGAGGUUCCUCGAGAAGAGGAAGAACAGGCUCACCGCGGCGGAUCCAUACCCGGCGGCGGCAAGUGAGUCGUCGACCAAGCAGCCUCCUGCUGUUAAGGAGGAGGGCGCGCCGUGGCUCGGCGUGAGCUCCGCGCUCAGCCUCAGCUGGUUCAGCGAUGCCUUCGACGCGCAGCACGUCGCCGAUCACACACUAAAGCUGCGGCUAAUGCUAGCCAACCAUUUUGAGUUGGAGUGCUCCACGUAUGACAGGGAGGACAAGCCCUUCAUCAAGCUCGAGCUCGAGGACGCCAUGGCUGGGAAGGACACAUGGUUCGUGAACAAGGAGGUAACGAUGCCUCCCCACGUCUCCACUCCAUCAAGUCAAUUGCCUUCUUGCCCUGCCCCUCCUCCUCCGCCCCCAUUUCCCGACCCCUAUAAAACACAAGGCUGCCCGCGGCGCCCCCAUCAUCCAUUCCCACAGCACCACCAAGAGCAAGAGCAAACAGCAACACAAGCCAAGGCAAAGAGAAGGAGGAGAAGCAAGCGCGAAGCAGUCGUCUCGAUUGACAUGGCCAUGGCGGCAGCGGAGGGCAAGAGCCGGAGGUUCGCGCUGGCCUGCGGGGUGCUGAGCCAGUACGUCAAGGCCGAGCAGCAGAUGGCGGCCGCCGCAGCCCCUGCCGCUCGCGCCCCGGCCACGACGCUGAGCCUCAUGCCCGGCGCGGACGUCGGCGCCGAGCAGGAGCCGACCCCGGCCGCCGCCGCGAGGGGCGAGGAGAUGGCUGGGCCCGCCUCCACGGCGGCGCCGCUCACCAUCUUCUACGGCGGCAGGGUGGUGGUGUUCGAGGACUUCCCCGCGGAGAAGGCGGCCGAGGUCAUGCGCCUCGCAGCCGGCGGCGCCGAGCGCGCGGCGGUCCCGGCCCCGGCCCCGGCUCCGGCUCCGGCUCCGCGCGACGACCUGCCCAUCGCCAGGAAGGCGUCGCUGCAGCGGUUCCUGGCCAAACGCAAGGACCGCCUCGUGGAGCGCGCGCCCUACACCCGCCCGUCUCCGUCCCCCGCGGAGGAGGCGGAGAAGACGAAGCAGCCGGCGGCCUCCUCCUGGCUCGGUCUCGGCGGCAGCACGACGGACGCCGAGCGCCUCACCAUCGCGCUGUGAUUUGGGGAGUUCGCGUCGCGUCAUGUGGAUCGAUUAAUUCGGUGGGUUCCUGCCUUCCUCAGGCUGGAUUGGUUUGUAUGGAAAUUGAAAUGGGUUGUAGAGAGAUGUUAUUCUUCUUGUUUUUUUUUUUCUUACGAGAGAGUUUCGCUGCUCUUGUAAGAUUUGAUGAUUCGAUAAUACUAGAAAGAAAGAUGGAGAUUCAACAAUUUGUGUGACUUUCGUGACACGUGUGUUUUCUGCCGCAAAAAUCAUGGCUGAAUUUUACACAAAACUUGAUGCCA